UACGUAGGGGGCAAGCGUUGUCCGGAUUUAUUGGGCGUAAAGAGCGUGUAGGCGGCUAGGUAGGUCCGUUGUGAAAACUCGAGGCUCAACCUCGAGACGCCGGUGGAAACCAUCUAGCUAGAGUCCGGAAGAGGAGAGUGGAAUUCCUGGUGUAGCGGUGAAAUGACGCAGAUAUUCGCAAGAACACCCAGUGGCGAAGGCG
rnacentral:rRNA from 1 species